AAUAAAAUGUGUUUUUAUUCAAAUUAAAGAAUCACUUUAAAUUAGAUAAGUGAUUGAAUGAAAUGUUGCCAGCAGUGAUUGAAAUAACAUAUCAAUUUUGUACAAAAGACCUUAUAAAUACUGAUUUUUUCGUAAAUUAUCACAAUAACAGUGUGAAGCUUUUGAAAUAUGUAAAGAAUUAUAACUUGGAAAUUAGAAAUACAAUUUACUUGAUUGGUGAUUGAUCUUUAAAAUGAAUUCUGACAGCUUAGAUAAUUAUUUUAGUUGGUUGCCAGUUAUAAACACAGUUAAAGAUCGUGUGAAAAAUGAUUCUUUAAUUCAUAUGUUUUCAUAUAAGAUUAAAAUUCGAGAAAAUACUAAGAAUUUAAAUAAAUUUUUAAAGACAUAUCGUCCUAAAUGUUACAGUGAUUUUGUAAAAUGCAAACAAGACAUUUUGAAUAAAAUUACAAGUAAUGUCGAUGUCUCAGAUGAUUCAGAGCUUAGUGAUAGUGAUAUUAAAACUUUUUAUAGUAGUUUUAAUGAAAGUAGUGCUGCGAAUUUAAAAACCAUUCACAACGAUCUUUUUGUAUGGUCUUUUAUUGAAAAAAAAGGUUUAAAAAUCAUAGAACCAGAAAAUGAUUACAAUAGUACCAUCUGGGAACCUACAAUAGAUAUAAGUAUAGAGAAUUGUCACAGUCAAGCUGAAGGUCAAGCUAAAUGUAAUGUUAAUUUCAAGGCAGCAAGAGCUUUGCCAAUGAAAAAUAAGAAUCCAAAAAAAAAGUCCAAAAAAAAUAUUUAUCACAAUACAAGAAACUCAUCUUCCAGUAAUUCUAUUAAUAAUAAUAUUAAUUGUAUCAAUGUAUCAAAGAAAUUUCUAGAAAAAUAUGAAGAAGAGGUUGAAAAGAAAAAAACUUCUGCCACUAAAGUGCUAAGAACGAAGAAAAUAAAUGGCUUAAAAAGAAAUUUAAAACCUACAAUCCACGAUACCAGUCCACAAUCCUUAGAAAAUACCAAAGAUUUUAGUUGCGAUUUUAUACAUGAAAAUUUUCAAGCUCAAAGCACUCAAAUUUUUUCAGAUACUUUCAUAGAUACUAGUAUACAAAUAAAUAAUCAAACCAGGCAAGCUCAUAAAUUUGCAUCCAAUCAUACUAACAAUCAACCUAGAGAUUCAUGUAUAGAAGAAGAUUCAAGAGCUGGAAAUAUUAUACAUCAAAACAUUAAAAAUGGCACUUCAAAGAAUAAUAAACAAAAUACUUUUUUUAGUAAAAAUACUGAGUCCUGUAAUAAUUUAAGGAAAAAUAAAACCUUAAAAAUUAUUGGAAAUGAAACACUGAUAAAGAAAUACAAAAUAGUAGCCACAAACAACAAAGAAUCACAACCUAUUAUAGAAGAGAAAAAUGUUUCUUUAUCUGGACUGAAUAAUAAAAAUAAUGAUUACUCAAAUCAUAAAUUACGUGAUUCUGAAAGUGAUUUUAAAUCAAUAGAGUCUGAUAAUGAAGAAGAAAAUUUUGAUGAAUGCUAUGAUAUACCUGAUGAUAUCGAUACUUUAAAGUUUGAAGAUGAUCAAGCCUCUCAUGCCGAAGGAAGUUGGGUAACAAAUCAUAAAGAAACUUGUGUAGAAUAUGAUUCUCAAGAUAGUGAACAUUAUUGUAAAAGGAUGACAAAUGAGUCAGUAAAAAGUACAUCUCCAUGGAUAACUAAGCAGUAUGAUAAUUUAAAACAAUUAAGAUUACUAAACACUAGUGUAGAUGAUUCUGAAAUUGAUUCAAAUGAGAAAAAUCAAUCCAACACUAUUGCUGAACAAACAGUUUCAACAAAGAAUAAAAACAUUCCAAAAAUAUUUAUCAACGAAACAGAAAAAUCAAGUGAAAUUCAAAGUAAAAAAGAGAAAUCGUUUGUCAAUGGCACACUAACAAGACAUUUAGAUUUAGAAAUAAAUACUUCACAAAUCAGUAAUGAACAUUUUAAUAAAAAUGCAAAUGUUGAUACGCACAAUGACAGAAAAAAUGAAUCUUCAUUUAAUCAAACAGACAGUUUCUGUAAAAAUGGUGGUUCUUUAAAUUCAAAAUUAGACAAUAAUAAUGUGUAUUGCUCUGAAUCUGAUGGAGAUAGUCAAAAGUCAUUUCAGAAAAUUAAGAAACUGAAAUAUAGAAAGAAACAACAAAAAACUAAUAUAUUGGAUUUGCCAAGUAAUAGAGAACAAUUAUAUGAAAGGCAAUUACAGCAUGAUUUAAAAAAUGUAAAAAGUUACAAAAGUAUAUAUUCAACAAAAUGUAUCAACAAUGAUGACAUUAAAGAAGGUAUCCAUCAAAACUGUGAAGAAGAUGUUUUUUUGGAUUUACAUGUUGAAAACUUAACAAAAUUAAAAAUAAAAUCAGCUAGUAGUAAAUUAGAUCAUAGCAAAAAAAAUAGUUAUGGUAUUUGUUCAAAAUAUAGUAGUUCUCAUAGAAAUUCCAGUGUUUCUAGUAUAGAAGACCUUCCGAUAACUAAAUACAAGAAAGAGAAUAGAUUGAAUGAUAAAAUCUUAACUACAUCUAAUGAUAAAAAAGAAAAUGAAGAUGAAAAGAUAAUAUCAGAACAUCAAAAGAAAAAGCUACAAAAAUUGAAAAAAAUUGAUCUUAUUGCUUCUGAUGAAACAAGUGACAGGGAAACACAACUUGAAAAAGAAAAAAUUGGUGAAAAGAUUGAAAUAAAAUUACAGAAGGCUUAUGAUAGUGAAAUCGACAAUUACAAAAUAACAGAAACUAUGUUAUCUCACAAGGAAAGUCCAAGCAAUAUAGAAGAUGAUGUUUUACCAACUCAGCAAGCUCAGAAAAAAAUCCAACAAAUGAAAAGACUAAAUUUUAUUGAUAGUAAUGAAUCAGAACGUAAUGAAUCAGAAACGGUUUCCAUAAAUAGACAUGAAUAUAAAUCAAUAAAACCAGAACCUAUAAAAGAGCAAAGUACAGAAAAUUUUGAAAAAGUUAAGAAAGCAAUUUGUAAUGAGAAUAACGUCGAAGACGAUAAAAUGCCAAGGAACGAAAAAAAAUAUUUACAGCAAAUAAAAAAGAUAAAUGGUUUGGGAACUAAUGUAUCAGAAGACCUGGGUGAACAUCAAGUUUUAAAAAAUAUAAGCAGAAAAAUAUCCAAUGAGAAAAUACAAUUAAUCAGUGCGAAAGAGCAAACUUUCAAUGACAAAUCGAAAAAAACCCAUAAACUUACAGAAGAAGUAAAUAACGAAAAGGAUAUCAUAUCGGUAAAUCAGGUAAAACAUUUGCAGCAAAAGAAAAAAAUGGAUGUGCCCACUGAUAAUUCGGAAGAGUCUAAUAAAGGAGAUCAAGUUUUAAAAAGUAGAAAUAAAGAAAUAUUCAAUGAGAAAACAAAACGUGAAGAUAGCGAGAAUGAAAAUAUUAAGUCGAAUAAGAAAACCAAAUUGCUUGAAAAAUGUAAUGCAGAUUUACAUGAAGAAAGAGAUAGUGAUAUCGUCUAUCAUGACAGUGAUAAUGUUGAUAUCAAAGAACAUAAAGUAACUAUACCCAAAGAAUUGAAACAUUCAAAUCUCUUGGAUUAUCUCAAUGAAAGUAAUGUUGAAAGAUUUGAUCUGUCUUUAAACGAUGAUGAAUUUCAAAAGCAUUUGCAGAAAAAAAAUGUAGGUGAAUUAGUAAAUGAUGAUGAUGAAGAAAUCGAUAACAUUAUACCUGUGGAAGUAUCAAAACGUAUGCAGCAACUAAAAAGAUUAAACCUUUACGAGGAUAACGAUAGUUCUGAUUCUGAUGAGGUACUUAUACACAAUAGAAGUGAUAGAAAUAUUUCUCGAAACCGAUCCAGUGUCUCGAGAAAUGCAUACGAUGAUAGCUCGAGUGAUGAAACAGAAAACAUUAGUAAAGAUCCACUAAAAUCAAUCGACGAACUUAACGAGUCUGAAUUAAAUGAUACGAAAGGAAAGUUUCAAGAUAACAUUACAAACGAGGAAGAUAACGACGAACAAAAUAUGAAUGUUAUCAUCCCCGAAACGCAAGAAAGUGUAGAUAUUGUAUCGGAUAAUAUUCAAUCCCAAGAAGUAUUUUCAUUUCCUGAAAAUUUGGCAAAAUGUUCAAGUUCAAUUCCCGCAACUCCAAAAUCAGUCUUAAAAAAAUCGAGUCCCACUGAACUAGUAAGAAAAAAAAUAACGGAGAUCACUGAACUUGUUGAACAAGAUGAGUUAACGAAAAGUUCUUUAAAACCAACAAUAAUUUUGGAUGAUAUAUCUGAUGAUGAAGAAAUAUUUUUUAUUGAUGUUCCAAAACACCUUUUUGAUCAAAACAUAAUUGGUAAAAAAUUGAUUGUUUCAAAUAGUUCUUUAACCAUAGGAGAAUCGAAUUAUAAGAUAUAUGAUAAAGACAUUCCACCUAUAAUGACAUGUGUAAUAAAAUCUAAGAAGAAAAAGUACAAAACAGUGAAUGUAAGACCACUAUUUUCAAUUAUUGCUCAAGGAAAGAUUAACGGAGAUGAAUUUUAUGGUACAGAAUCGACAUCAAUAGAAAAGUCAAAUUCAAAAAAUUUAAAGUUGUCUUUGAAAGAUAAAUUGCAUAGCACGUCUUCCAUAGCAUUAAAGGAUGGCAUAAUUGCAAAGAAAAAAAGGAUAAAGAAUAAGAAAAUUAAUUUGAAUUUGAAUGAUGUUGAUGACAUCGAAAAUUUUAAAAAAAUAACAGGACAAGGAAUAGCAAGUACAAGCAAAGUACCGAAAAGAAAAUUGUAUGAAAGUGAUCAUGAAAUGAAAGAUUUAGUAGAUAGCAGAACAACAGAAUCUAUUAUGAAUACAAAUAGUUCAUUAAAAAAAUUAAAGGAAUUGAAAGAAAGAGUAAAGGAUACUGUUGAUACAAGUAUAAAGUCUGCUGUAAGAGUAAGUACAAAUGAGCCAACACUUAAGAAUAUCAAUGUGAACGAACCAGCUCCCAACAAUGAAAAUAAAAGUAAAGUUGAAAUUUCGACGCAAAGCAAGUCUAAAACAAAAAUUAAGACAAAAACGAAAAGCAAAGUCGAAGAAUCUAAUACAAAGACAGAAGAGGAAUUUGCGUUAGAAAAAAUUACCAAAUCUCUAGAGAAUGACAAGGAGAUGUUUGAACAUAUGCUUCAAGACUCAUUUUUACUUGAUGUAUCUAUUGUCGAAGAAAUGAAAGCGGCGAAAAAGAAAGGAAAAAAAAGGAGCGUAAAUGAAGAUGCUAACUCAGAUACAAGAACAAAAAGAAUAAAGAAAUCAGAAAUGAAAGAAGAAAAUUCAAUAGCUGCUGUAAAACCUAAAAGAUCAACAAAGAAAGUUGAAAAAAAACCUAAAGAAGAGCCAGCAUCUGUACAAAUAAUGAAACUUAUCAACAGUGCAUUUCAGCUUAACGACGAUAAACUCAAUACUUCAACAUCCAGUAACGAAAGCAGGUAUGAAGCUCUCGACGUCAAGCGCGUCCCAGCGAAAAAGAAUUACUCGUCUUCGAGUAGUAAUGAUGAAUGUGAGAAAAAAUAUUCAAAAUUAGAAUUUUAUGUCAAGGAAAAAUUGAAGGAAAAAGAGCCAACGGAACCUAUAACUUCACUGAACAAUUCUACUCUCGAACAAAAAGUAAAAGAUGAAAAGAAGAAAAUUAAAAAAAUCUACUUCGACGAAUAAAUAGACUGGAUAAAAAAAAAUAUGCUAGUUGUAAUUCCGCGGAAUGAUAAAGUUCCAAAUGCAUUCAGAUGUUUCAUUGCGAUGCACGUCUGCGUAAGUGUGAGCCGAUGCACCACACUCAUAACCGAGAAUACUACGAUGCCAUUUAAGAUUUUCCACUGCAAGGCAUUGGCCAGUCAUCACGUGUUGAAUCACAAUCCUAUGGAUUUAGUACAAAGUAUUGUAAAGUUUUAUGUUUUGUAUUUGGAGGCAUAUAUGUGAAAUGUUCGGUGAUAGUUAAAAGGCGCUAUUAAUGUUCAUAAUAUUAUAAUUUUCUUGUUUUUUCCCAUUUAUUACGCGAAUUGUUAUUUUCCUAUAGAUAUGAAAAAAAUUUUAUUUUGUUGAUUUCUUACUUUUGGACCAGUUAUUUUAUUAUGACAAAAUAUAAGUGUUUUUAUCUAAGCAUACUGAAAAGAACUGCUACCAAUCGAACAGCUGCACUUGUUAUAAAAAACCUUAUGCAUGGUGGAAUGGGAUCUCCUUCUGUCUCGAAUCUCUGCUGUCUGUUCCAGUAAAGAGCUCUCCACUUUGCAUAACAAUCUUUGGUAACAUUCAAGCGCAGAGGAUUGUGAUAUUUGGGGCCGAAUUGACCAUCAAUAAGAGGUGUUUCCGAUCGCAGGUAUAAAAUUUCAUUUGCAUAAGGCAGCUUGAAGCAGAAGAUAAAAUUCCCAGUAAAUGAUCAUUAACAAGUUUCAGAUUUAACUUAUAUUACUAUUAAUUAUGAGAAUGUUGCACUAUAAUAGUAUAAAACUGAAGGUAAAUCUUUAAUUUUCGUCAAGGAAAACGGCAAGCAUAAAUUACUUUUAUAAAUUUAAAAAGAAACAUUGAAGCAUUUACAAAAAGAAAAAAAAAGUUGCACUAUGUAGUCACAAAAAAACGUAAACCUGCAAAUAAAACUGUCGUCCAAAUAAGCAGGACACCUGUAAGGUGAGCAAGCAACAGCGCAACCAUCAACCAUUCUGGCGAUCUCGAUGUCCUCGUAAGCAGCAGUGGCAGCAAGUGUUAAACCCAACUGCCUUGGCCCCCAAGGUAUCUCAGCGUCAGGACAUCCUCGAUCGCUUUCCAGUUUGAUGGAUUCGUUGGCAAUGGCACGCCGCGAAUGAAGUUGUGGAUUAAGCGACGACGACGCUGACAUAUCAAUAAACCUUUUUUACGCUUUUUGUCUUGUUCCUCGCGUUGUUCCUGCACGAGAGCGAUAGAUAAUACGACGCACACUUGACGUCAAAUACAAUCCUCAGAAUGAAAAUCGAUUGUUACUGUGCGAAAUAAAAAAUGUACGCGGAGUCGCUGUGGCGAAGGUGCUUGCUAAAAAUUGUAUCUGAUAUUAUGAUAUGAUGUCUGCGUUAGUGAAAGGCUCAAACAAGAAAUGAAAGUCAUAGCAACUAAGUAGUUUCUGGAAUUCAGAGAGGCGGUGCGAGCUCGAGCGCAGCCGAACGCAUUCUGUCGAGAUUCAAAGCUGCGUUAUAUUGCACAGACCGCAUAAUUUUUCGAGCGCCAUAAUGCAUAAUGCUAUACUUCGAAAAGAAAUAUAUUUUUCAAAGUCACAAUUGUUCUUUUACAAAUCAUUGACUCGCUGCUCCAAUUGCAUGCCUCUUAUAUUGUAAUAUCCAAUUGCAAGCAUGACUGUUGGAAAUCCGAUUGAGAUGAAUCGUGAAGCAGAAGUAAAUGAAUAAAAAUUCGAUGUGUAAAGGUGCGCGCCUGCAUAAGGAUAAAGUGCCUCUAAUAGUUAAUCAGUUUAACGUGUCGAGCGAAUUGCGAAUAACGACAAAGUACAAUUUGAUCGAUUUUUCCUGCGCUAUUCUGGAAAUUCGAAUAAAGCAUGACAUGCGAUUUAUGACAGAUAGAUGCAUUCCGUCUUGAUGAAAGGGUUUGACGGCGCCGCAAGAACUAAAUGCUCGAGAUACAGAGGCAAGUUUCGCUGGUAACUAUAGCACGAGUCGUUCCGAUCAAUAAACUGUCACACGUGUACUAAUUGUAUUAGUAUCUUGUUUAUUUUGAUUUGGUUAUUGAAUUACAAGACAAUUAUGAAUGCCCGCGAUUGACGUGGACUUUCGCAAUUAUUGCAUUCCAAAUGCGCGCGAAUCAUCAGCGUAAUUACCUAAG